CUGCAUGAGCUGCCCUGGGCCCUUGAGAAAAACGGCAGGUGAGGUGAGAAACCUGAACGCAGCGGCGAACAGUUGGCACUCCUGCUGUCCUGCAGCUGGUGUUGGACAGAAGCUUGGAAAAGGUGACACCGGACGACACAGCACGAACGGCGAGAUGCUGCGGUUACCCGCCACGCCCCCACUGUCAUCCCCGACCGCAUCCGGGAAAGCGAACUGGCAGAAAAAUCGACGCCGAGGCUCAUCAGGAAAGCAGUUCUCCAGUUUCGCGCGAGAGAGAAAGUGCCCAAGGAAAGAAAAAAAAAAUCUUGCGCGCGAAUCCGAGGACCCCCGGCAGCGCGAUCUCUGUGACAGCGAUGU
rnacentral:misc_RNA from 1 species